GUGUGUGUAGCCACAUGUUCCCCUCCAGGGGCCACAGGGGCACAUUGGCCCCUUCCAGGAGUGGCACAGGGUUGGGACAGGCAGGGAGCCUGCGUUAGCCCCGCUGCACUACUGACCAGGAGCCACCUGAGGAGCACUCCCUGUGCCUGCAGCUGCUGACGAGGAGGCACAAACAACCCAAACAACCGUUCUAGCCGGCACAGAAGCCAAAGCACACUGAGGGGCUGGAUCCAAAUGUCAAGAAUCUCUUUUGAUUUAGCAUCCUAAUUUGGGGUACUGACCUAAGUGCUUAGGGGGCUGGUUCUCCAAGGAGCUGGGCACCCACAACGCCCACUGACUCCAGUUCCUGCUGUGGAUACAGAUGGAACAUGUGCCCUGGAACCCCUAUUUUGAAGAAGUAUUUCAAAACAUAGAGAAUUAGGCCAUUGUUUAAAAUUUAGACCUUACCGAUUUGCUCAUUGUGAUGUUACUGAAAUGAACUGUAACCGUAUAGAUCAUUGUUGCAACCAAGGUCCUAGAGUUGCACCAAAUAUUAUACAAAGAAGGUCAAGUAAGAUGUCCAUGAAAAGGUUGUAAUUUGCUGGUUAUGGUUAUGCUGUCUGUAUGUGUGUAUCGUUUUUGUAUUUGAAGUUAUGAAUAGUGGCUAUCUGCUUGUUUCUCAAUGUGUUUGAUUUUAAGUAGCAUCAGUGAAGCAUUUGGUCAGCUUCUUGAGAAAGGACUAUUUUGAGUAAGUGCCAAAUCAAGAAACACUUAACUGACAGUGGACCUUGGGAGACUCCAAUCCACUUCUGAGGAGCCUACCUGGGAACGUUCAAGACAGCAUGUGAGCAAUGGCUGCUCUACCAGCAAACUGAAGUAAGAACAAAGGGAUUUCCAUCCACAUGACAGAGGAUAUAAAAGGCCCUGGAAGCCCCUAUAUUUUGAUCUUCAGUCCUGCUUCUGACAUCUGGAGGAACUUUGCUAGAAACUGAAGCUCUGAAGACAGGACUGAACGACCCAUCCAAAGCUGUUUUGAUUGUACUCCAGAGACUUGAUUUCAGCUUGCAGUUUAUUCCACCACUGCUAUAAGCCUGAACCAAGAACUUUGCAAUUGUUGUAUGUAUUUGAUUCCAGUUAACCAAUUUUAACCUUCAUCUAUAUUUCUUUCUUUUUAUGAAUAAACCUUUAGAUUUUAGAUUCUAAA